GGAGGUAGAUAUGUAUAGGGGGAAGGGAUACUGGAGUGAUGGAGGUAGAUAUGUAUAGGGGGAAGGGAUACUGGAGUGAUGGAGGUAGAUAUGUAUAGGGGGAAGGGAUACUGGAGUGAUGGAGGUAGAUAUGUAUAGGGGGAAGGGGACAGGGAUACUGGAGUGAUGGAGGUAGAUAUGUAUAGGGGGAAGGGGACAGGGAUACUGGAGUGAUGGAGGUAGAUAUGUAUAGGGGGAAGGGGACAGGGAUACUGGAGUGAUGGAGGUAGAUAUGUAUAGGGGGAAUGAGACAGGGAUACUAGAGUGAUGGAGGUAGAUAUGUAUAGGGGGAAGGA